ACCUUGCCUCUUUCUAUUAGAAAUAUGCAAGUAUACCUCCGAGUUCAAGCAAGUCCAAGCCAAGCUCACCAAGCUCGGCCUAAUUAGCCACCCACUAGCCCUCACCAGGCUCUUGUGCUAUUCCUCAAUCUCUCGCUAUGCUGACAUUCACUAUGCUCAAUCAAUCUUUAAUCUUGACAAAAACCCAAAUACAUUUGCAUAUAAUGUGCUGAUUAGAGGCUAUGCUCGGAGUGAAAAGCCCGAAAUGGCCAUUUCUUUGUUUUAUAGUAUGCUUUGUAAUGUCAAUUCUGUG
rnacentral:misc_RNA from 1 species